rnacentral:rRNA from 1 species
AACGCUAGCUACAGGCUUAACACAUGCAAGUCGAACGGAUUCUGGAUUCGUCUGGAAUUAGUGGCAAACGGGUGAGUAACACGUAUCCAACCACCCUGCGACUCGGGGAUAGCCUCUUGAAAGGGAGAUUAAUAUCCGAUGUACUGUUUUUGGUGCAUGCCAUUUUCAGUAAAGUUUUUUACGGUCGCUGACGGGGAUGCGUUCCAUUAGAUAGUCGGUGUGGUAACGGCUCACCGAGUCUAUGAUGGAUAGGGGUUCUGAGAGGAAGGUCCCCCACAUUGGAACUGCGACACGGUCCAAACUCCUACGGGAGGCAGCAGUGAGGAAUAUUGGUCAAUGGACGGGAGUCUGAACCAGCCAAGUAGCGUGAAGGAUGACAGCCCUAUGGGUUGUAAACUUCUUUUGGUCGGGAAUAACAGACACCACUUGUGGUGUUUUGCAUGUACCGGCCGAAUAAGGAUCGGCUAACUCCGUGCCAGCAGCCGCGGUAAUACGGAGGAUCCGAGCGUUAUCCGGAUUUAUUGGGUUUAAAGGGAGCGUAGGCGGGAAGUCAAGUCAGCUGUGAAAUGCGUACGCUCAACGUACGCCUUGCAGUUGAAACUGGUUUUCUUGAGUGCGUAAGAGGCAGGCGGAAUUCGUGGUGUAGCGGUGAAAUGCUUAGAUAUCACGAAGAACUCCGAUUG